UCCCUUGUGGCUCAGCUGGUAAAGUAUCUGCCUGCAAUGCGGGAGACCUGGGUUCGAUCCCUGGGUUGGGAA
rnacentral:tRNA from 1 species